UACAGAGGGGGCAAGCGUUGUUCGGAAUUACUGGGCGUAAAGGGCGCGUAGGCGGCCCGCUAAGUCGAACGUGAAAUCCCCGGGCUCAACCCGGGAACUGCGUCCGAUACUGGCAGGCUUGAAUUCGGGAGAGGGAUGUGGAAUUCCAGGUGUAGCGGUGAAAUGCGUAGAUAUCUGGAGGAACACCGGUGGCGAAGGCGGCAUCCUGGACCGAUAUUGACGCUGAUGCGCGAAAGCCAGGGGAGCAAAGCGGG
rnacentral:rRNA from 1 species